GCUACUGGAUGGCCGAUGGGCCCUGUGGGUUACUGACGUCAGCCAAACUCCGAAUGCCAUCAGGGUCGAGCGCGGCAGUGAGACCGCGGGGGAUAAGCUCCGUGGUCGAGAGGGAAACAGCCCGGACCGCCGGCUAAGGCCCCUAAGCGUGCGCUAAGUGGGAAAGGAUGUGGAGUCGCGGUGACAACCAGGAGGUUGGCUUAGAAGCAGCCAUCCUUGAAAGAGUGCGUAAUAGCUCACUGGUCAAGUGGUUCUGCGCCGACAAUGUAGCGGGGCUCAAGCGCACCGCCGAAGCCGUGGCAGCAGCGCGUUGUCGCCCUCCUCCCCCCUGUUGGAUGGGGUGGUGGGUGCGCUGCUGGGUAGGGGAGCGUCCUGCGCGGGGCGAAGCCCGGGGGUGACCCCUGGUGGACCGCGUGGGAGUGAGAAUGCAGGCGUCGACGCGGCCG
rnacentral:sRNA from 1 species